UCUUAUGUAAUAUUUUACUCUUCAUAAGGUUAUUUUAUAUCUAGUGAUUCCCAAUUAAUAGUAUAGAUGAUUAGAUUUUUAUAAAUCCCAGCACAUGGAUGCCAAAAAAAACAAAAAAAAAUCCCAGCACAUUCUGAAAGGGGCAUGUCAAUUAGAGGAAUCUUCAAUUUUUUUUUCUAUUGUCAAGAUAUGCAUUGUAGAAAUCCAAGAAAGGAUAACUGUAUUUUGAGCUAACAUUUUAAGAUAUAUAUUCUUCAAAACACAAACUACUCCAUCGUAUAAUAAUUUUUAUUUUUACAAAAAAAAUCCUCCAAAUGAAUUUUAUUAUCAACUUAUAAAAACUAUAAUUAGUUCAAAUCUAAGAAGUAGAAUUUAAUCUAUAAUAUAAUGAGAAAUAUCAAUGGAUAUGCAUAGACGAAUGCAUAAUUGAGUCUCGUAAAGUUGCACUGUUCUCUCGCUUCUGUUCACUUUUUAAAGACGCAUGUACCCCUAUAUUAUGAUAUUAGAAACUUCGUAGAUUAUAGGUUGAAAUUAUGUCAGACGGCAGGAGGAGAUAUUGUGUAGAUAUUGUUUUGGGAGUUGUGUUUAUAUUUUUUUUUUUUGCGAGAAACGAACAGUCGUGUUCUUUGCUUUCUAUAUGAAGAGACAGAGUCGGCGUUUUGGGACUGUAGAAAAAAGGAAACGACACCACAAAAUUUUCUCUCUCUUAUUUUCUUUAUCUCCUUCUGAUUCUCGAGCAAGUGUUUAUUUCUCAGAUCUGGGUUUUUAUUGAUCUCGAUUUGUCUUCUGAUGAGGCCGAUUCUGUUUUCUCCGCGUCUGAUAGCUUUUGGUGAAGAACCUCGCGGCGAGAGGGUUAAUGUUUAUUAGAAGAUGAAAACGGUGUGUGGUAUCAUCAAUGUCCUCGACGAUGAUGAACGGCAGUACAUAUCUCGGUCUUCUCUCGGUCGCCUGUUGGAGUUUCUGAACAAACCAGCCUGAUUAUUUAAUAUCUGUCUUAUUUUAGUUAGCAGCUAGUCGUAUUAUCGACUAACAAUGUUAUCAAUCGAAACUUGUUGUUUGGUGUUGGAUGAUUAUUUUCAAAUUUCAAGGUGAAAACAUUAUCGUAAUUAUCA